CAGAGCAUGACCUGGGAAAUUCCAAUCUUUCCUCUCCCUCUGGAGUGCUGCUCUCUUUAAGGUCAGCUGAGGGAAAAAGUGAAUUGGCUCUUCCAGAGGGAGAUGCAGUUUCUCUCUUUCCAUUUGGCAAUGGAGGGAGAAGUCUGGACAGCUCUAAGUGUCUUCAGCAUGGUGGUCCCCAGAAAGGAGGCUCUGGCACAUCUGGUUGGGCCUAUGAAGAAAACACAGUCCAUCAGGCAGGUUGCUGUAACCUGAGGAGCAAGGAUAAGCGUAAGGUAAGUUGUGCAAUUUCAGCUCACGAUACGGACCUAGUAAGAUGGUUGCUUUCCUCUCAGAAGUCCCUUUUUGAAU
rnacentral:lncRNA from 1 species